UGGGGAAUCUUGCGCAAUGGGCGAAAGCCUGACGCAGCGACGCCGCGUGAGUGAUGAAGGCCUUCGGGUUGUAAAGCUCUGUGGGGAGAGACGAAUAAGUGCAGCCUAAUACGUUGCAUGAUGACGGUAUCUCCUUAGCAAGCACCGGCUAACUCUGUGCCAGCAGCCGCGGUAAGACAGAGGGUGCAAACGUUGUUCGGAAUUACUGGGCGUAAAGCGUGUGUAGGCGGUCUGCUAAGUCGGGUGUGAAAGCCCCGGGCUCAACCCGGGAAGUGCACUCGAAACUGGCAGGCUAGAGUACUGGAGAGGUUGGUGGAAUUCUCGGUGUAGAGGUGAAAUUCGUAGAUAUCGAGAGGAACACCGGUGGCGAAGGCGGCCAACUGGACAGAUACUGACGCUGAGACACGAAAGCGUGGGGAGCAAAC
rnacentral:rRNA from 1 species